rnacentral:rRNA from 1 species
GUGGGGAAUCUUGCGCAAUGGGCGAAAGCCUGACGCAGCCAUGCCGCGUGAAUGAUGAAGGUCUUAGGAUUGUAAAAUUCUUUCACCGGGGACGAUAAUGACGGUACCCGGAGAAGAAGCCCCGGCUAACUUCGUGCCAGCAGCCGCGGUAAUACGAAGGGGGCUAGCGUUGCUCGGAAUUACUGGGCGUAAAGGGCGCGUAGGCGGAUCGUUAAGUCAGGGGUGAAAUCCCAGAGCUCAACUCUGGAACUGCCCUUGAUACUGGCGAUCUUGAGUGUGAGAGAGGUAUGUGGAACUACGAGUGUAGAGGUGAAAUUCGUAGAUAUUCGGAAGAACACCAGUGGCGAAGGCGACAUACUGGCUCAUUACUGACGCUGAGGCGCGAAAGCGUGGGGAGCAAACAGGAUUAGAAACCCCGGUAGUCC